GGUGCGACCCGCAUCUGGCAUCUCAUCUGCAGUCUCUGUGUGUGGGAGAGGAACAUCCUGUUUGCCUGCAGUCACUCUGAAGCACAGACUUCAAAGGAGAGAAGAGAAGGACCGUGCUGGAGGCACCCAGGGCCAGAGAAGCUACCAUAACAAAUGCUGCAGAUACGUACUUCCUCACUGUUGUGAAGACCAGAAGUCAAGAUUAAGGUGCCAGCAAGUUGAUUUCUUCUGAGCCUAUCCCCCUGUUCUGCCAAUGGUCAACUGCCCCCCCCCAUGUCCUCCUGUGGUCAUCUCCCUGUGCAGGAUGACCAGCCAUGCAGGCUCAGGCUCCAGCCUUGGACUAUUCACAUGGGUCGUCCCAGGUAAGGCCUCUGCCACAGAGUCACACACAUCUACUGGGAGAAUGAACUGCCUAACAUUUCAUCAUGGCCCCGAUUCACUGCAUU